UGGCUCAGUGGUAGAGCACUUGCCUUGCAUGCAUGAGGUCCUGGGUUCUAUUCCUCAG
rnacentral:tRNA from 1 species